rnacentral:rRNA from 1 species
GACGGAAGGUGCAAGCGUUGCUCGGAAUCACUGGGCGUAAAGGGCGCGUAGGCGGGCCGCCAGGUCCGGGGUGAAAGCCUCCAGCUCAACUGGAGAAGUGCCUUGGAUACCGGCGGCCUCGAGGGAGGUAGGGGCGUGCGGAACUUCGGGUGGAGCGGUGAAAUGCGUAGAUAUCCGAAGGAACACCGGUGGCGAAAGCGGCGCGCUGGAUCUCUUCUGACGCUGAGGCGCGAAAGCCAGGGGAGCAAACGGG